UCGGGAAUAUUGGGCAAUGGGCGAAAGCCUGACCCAGCAACGCCGCGUGAAGGAUGAAGGCCUUCGGGUCGUAAACUUCUGUCGAGAGGGAAGAACUACGUACGGUCAAUAUCCGUGCGUUUGACGGUACCUCCAAAGGAAGCACCGGCUAACUCCGUGCCAGCAGCCGCGGUAAUACGGAGGGUGCAAGCGUUGUUCGGAUUUAUUGGGCGUAAAGCGAGUGUAGGCGGUUUGACAAGUCGGGUGUGAAAUCCCAGGGCCCAACCCUGGAACUGCAUCCGAUACUGUCAGGCUAGAGUCCCGGAGAGGGUGGCGGAAUUCCCGGUGUAGGGGUGAAAUCCGUAGAUAUCGGGAGGAACACCAGUGGCGAAGGCGGCCACCUGGACGGUGACUGACGCUGAGACUCGAAAGCGUGGGUAGCAAACAGG
rnacentral:rRNA from 1 species